rnacentral:rRNA from 1 species
GAUGAACGCUUUCUACAGGCUUAACACAUGCAAGUCGAGGGGCAGCAUUUCAGUUUGCUUGCAAACUGGAGAUGGCGACCGGCGCACGGGUGAGUAACACGUAUCCAACCUGCCGAUAACUCGGGGAUAGCCUUUCGAAAGAAAGAUUAAUACCCGAUGGUAUAAUCAGACCGCAUGGUCUUGUUAUUAAAGAAUUUCGGUUAUCGAUGGGGAUGCGUUCCAUUAGGCAGUUGGUGAGGUAACGGCUCACCAAGCCUUCGAUGGAUAGGGGUUCUGAGAGGAAGGUCCCCCACAUUGGAACUGAGACACGGUCCAAACUCCUACGGGAGGCAGCAGUGAGGAAUAUUGGUCAAUGGGCGCAGGCCUGAACCAGCCAAGUAGCGUGAAGGAUGACUGCCCUAUGGGUUGUAAACUUCUUUUAUAUGGGAAUAAAGUUUUCCACGUGUGGAAUUUUGUAUGUACCAUAUGAAUAAGGAUCGGCUAACUCCGUGCCAGCAGCCGCGGUAAUACGGAGGAUCCGAGCGUUAUCCGGAUUUAUUGGGUUUAAAGGGAGCGUAGGUGGACAGUUAAGUCAGUUGUGAAAGUUUGCGGCUCAACCGUAAAAUUGCAGUUGAUACUGGCUGUCUUGAGUACAGUAGAGGUGGGCGGAAUUCGUGGUGUAGCGGUGAAAUGCUUAGAUACCACGAAGAACUCCGAUUGCGAAGGCAGCUCACUGGACUGCAACUGACACUGAUGCUCGAAAGUGUGGGUAUCAAACAGGAUUAGAUACCCUGGUAGUCCACACAGUAAACGAUGAAUACUCGCUGUUUGCGAUAUACAGUAAGCGGCCAAGCGAAAGCAUUAAGUAUUCCACCUGGAGAGUACGCCGGCAACGGUGAAACUCAAAGGAAUUGACGGGGGCCCGCACAAGCGGAGGAACAUGUGGUUUAAUUCGAUGAUACGCGAGGAACCUUACCCGGGCUUAAAUUGCAUUUGAAUAUAUUGGAAACAGUAUAGCCGUAAGGCAAAUGUGAAGGUGCUGCAUGGUUGUCGUCAGCUCGUGCCGUGAGGUGUCGGCUUAAGUGCCAUAACGAGCGCAACCCUUAUCUUUAGUUACUAACAGGUCAUGCUGAGGACUCUAGAGAGACUGCCGUCGUAAGAUGUGAGGAAGGUGGGGAUGACGUCAAAUCAGCACGGCCCUUACGUCCGGGGCUACACACGUGUUACAAUGGGGGGUACAGAAGGCAGCUACCUGGUGACAGGAUGCUAAUCCCAAAAGCCUCUCUCAGUUCGGAUCGAAGUCUGCAACCCGACUUCGUGAAGCUGGAUUCGCUAGUAAUCGCGCAUCAGCCAUGGCGCGGUGAAUACGUUCCCGGGCCUUGUACACACCGCCCGUCAAGCCAUGAAAGCCGGGGGUACCUGAAGUACGUAACCGCAAGGAGCGUCCUAGGGUAAAACUGGUAAUUGGGGC